GGGGACUGGAGGGGUCUGGGCGAAGGGGGUCACGGCCUGGGGGACGCAGCGGGCAGUCCUCGGAGUCCAGGACUGCCGGCACCUGCUGAGCGCGGCUUGAAGACCCCUGACGGGACCUAAGGUGGCCUCUUGCUCACCUUGGAGAAUAACAAUCUCUGAUGUCUGGCAAUAACAGAAAUGCUUCCAGUGGUCUUCUUUCGUCCAUCCUGACAAUGACCAGGGAAGGUCACCAGCACCUCUGGUGGGCGAGAGAUGUGAUCACUUAUUCCGUGUCCCAACCAGGGACCCGUAAGGUAAGACACAGCAAGAUACUCCUUGGAUGUGCUAAGAAAGUGAUCUUCCAUGCCCACUGCCCGCACCUUCAGCCCAGAGCAGAGUUCUUGGGUCCUUGCCCUUGAGUUCUUGCCCUUGAGACUAGCUCAGAUCUCUCCUUUGCUUUCUUUCUUUUUGUUUUUGAAGGAAUUUAGUCCCUGAUCUCCUCACCGGUUAUCACUUUCCAUUUAACAACAAGCCUUUAUUUAACACCAACUGUGUGCCCCGCACUGUGUUCACUCCCGGAGACUGUCCUUGGGCUGCUCACAGCCUGGCAAGGAACAGACUCUAAACACAUCUGGGAGAGUGGCUGCCACCAGUCAGCCUAUGGUGCCAGGUGUUCAUGCUUCCUCUUGCUCAGAACUACUUCUUUGAGCUGGAGUUCCUGUUGUGGCUCAGUGGGUUAAGAACCUGACCAGUAUCCAUGAGGUUGCGGGUUUGAUCCCUGGCCUCGUUCAGUGGGUUAAGGAGCCGGUGUUGCUGUGGCUGUGGUGUAGGAUGGCAGCUGCAGCUCUGAUUCAACUCCCUACCCUGGAAACAUCCAGAUGCCUCAGGUAUGGCCCUAAAAAAUAAUAAUAAUAAUAACUCUUUG
rnacentral:lncRNA from 1 species